GAUGAACGCUGGCGGCGUGCCUAAUACAUGCAAGUAGAACGCUGAAGCUUGGUGCUUGCACCGAGCGGAUGAGUUGCAAACGGGUGAGUAACGCGUAGGUAACCUGCCUCUUAGCGGGGGAUAACUAUUGGAAACGAUAGCUAAUACCGCAUAAAAGUUGACAUUGCAUGAUGUUGAUUUGAAAGAUGCAAUUGCAUCACUAAGAGAUGGACCUGCGUUGUAUUAGCUAGUUGGUGAAGUAACGGCUCACCAAGGCGACGAUACAUAGCCGACCUGAGAGGGUGAUCGGCCACACUGGGACUGAGACACGGCCCAGACUCCUACGGGAGGCAGCAGUAGGGAAUCUUCGGCAAUGGACGGAAGUCUGACCGAGCAACGCCGCGUGAGUGAAGAAGGUUUUCGGAUCGUAAAGCUCUGUUGUAAGAGAAGAACGAGUGUGAGAGUGGAAAGUUCACACUGUGACGGUAACUUACCAGAAAGGGACGGCUAACUACGU
rnacentral:rRNA from 1 species